rnacentral:rRNA from 1 species
UGACGUAGGGUGCAAGCGUUGUCCGGAAUUAUUGGCGUAAAGAGCUCGUAGGCGGUUUGUCGCGUCUGCUGUGAAAACGCGAGGCUCAACCUCGCGCCUGCAGUGGGUACGGGCAGACUAGAGUGCGGUAGGGGAGAUUGGAAUUCCUGGUGUAGCGGUGGAAUGCGCAGAUAUCAGGAGGAACACCAAUGGCGAAGGCAGGUCUCUGGGCCACAACUGACGCUGAGGAGCGAA